AAGCUGAAGUUCUAUUUAAACUAUUCCCUGAAGCGUUAUCAAUAUAC
rnacentral:tRNA from 1 species